rnacentral:rRNA from 1 species
UGCGGAGGGUGCAAGCGUUAUCCGGAUUCACUGGGUUUAAAGGGUGCGUAGGCGGGCCGGUAAGUCAGUGGUGAAAUCCUGGGGCUUAACCCCAGAACUGCCGUUGAUACUAUCGGUCUUGAAUGUUGUGGAGGUGAGCGGAAUAUGUCAUGUAGCGGUGAAAUGCUUAGAGAUGACAUAGAACACCAAUUGCGAAGGCAGCUCACUACGCAAAUAUUGACGCUGAGGCACGAAAGCGUGGGGAUCAAAC